rnacentral:rRNA from 1 species
UACAGAGGGGGCGAGCGUUGUUCGGAAUUACUGGGCGUAAAGGGCGCGUAGGCGGCCCGCUAAGUCGAACGUGAAAUCCCCAGGCUCAACCUGGGAACUGCGUCCGAUACUGGCAGGCUUGAAUCCGGGAGAGGGAUGUGGAAUUCCAGGUGUAGCGGUGAAAUGCGUAGAUAUCUGGAGGAACACCGGUGGCGAAGGCGGCAUCCUGGACCGGUAUUGACGCUGAGGCGCGAAAGCUAGGGGAGCAAAC